GGCGAACGCUGGCGGCGUGCUUAACACAUGCAAGUCGAACGGAAAGGCCCUGCUUUUGUGGGGUGCUCGAGUGGCGAACGGGUGAGUAACACGUGAGUAACCUGCCCUUGACUUUGGGAUAACUUCAGGAAACUGGGGCUAAUACCGGAUAGGAGCUCCUGCUGCAUGGUGGGGGUUGGAAAGUUUCGGCGGUUGGGGAUGGACUCGCGGCUUAUCAGCUUGUUGGUGGGGUAGUGGCUUACCAAGGCUUUGACGGGUAGCCGGCCUGAGAGGGUGACCGGCCACAUUGGGACUGAGAUACGGCCCAGACUCCUACGGGAGGCAGCAGUGGGGAAUAUUGCACAAUGGGCGGAAGCCUGAUGCAGCAACGCUGCGUGCGGGAUGACGGCCUUCGGGUUGUAAACCGCUUUCGCCUGUGACGAAGCGUGAGUGACGGUAAUGGGUAAAGAAGCACCGGCUAACUACGUG
rnacentral:rRNA from 1 species